GGGCCGUGGUAUACUGACCAUGCGAAGGUAGCAUAAUCAUUAGCCUCUUAAUUGGGGGCUGGAAUGAAUGGUCUGACGAGAGGCAAGCUGUCUCACCGACUUACUCGAAUUUAAUUAUUAGGUGAAAAAGCCUAAAUUUACUUGGAGGACGAUAAGACCCUAUAGAUCUUUACACUAAAUCUCUUUAUCUGGUAGUUAGUAAUAAGAUGAAGAACUGGGGUGUUUGGCUGGGGCGGCCGCGAGAGAAGAAUAAACACUUGCAUUUCAAAACAUAAAUAAAUGAUUAAAGAUCCUUUAAUGAAAAAAGAACAAGUUACCUUAGGGAUAACAGCGUAAUUUCUUUUGAGAGCUCAAAUCGACAAAGAAGUUUGCGACCUCGAUGUUGGUUCAGGGAUCCUAUUUGGUGCAGCAGUCAAAUUAGGCAGUCUGUUCGACUAUUAAAUCCCUACGUGAUCUGAGUUCA
rnacentral:rRNA from 1 species